UUGAUAGGCCGGGUGUGUAAGCGCAGCGAUGCGUUGAGCUAACCGGUACUAAUGACCCGUGAGGCUUAACCUUACAACGCCAGAGGCGUUU
rnacentral:rRNA from 1 species